rnacentral:rRNA from 1 species
UACGUAGGGGGCGAGCGUUGUCCGGAAUCAUUGGGCGUAAAGCGCGUGUAGGCGGCCCGGUAAGUCCGCUGUGAAAGUCCAGGGCUCAACCUUUGAAAGCCGGUGGAUACUGUGAGGCUAGAGUACGGAAGAGGCGAGUGGAAUUCCUGGUGUAGCGGUGGAAUGCGCAGAUAUCAGGAGGAACACCAAUAGCGAAGGCAGCUCGCUGGGACGUAACUGACACUGAGGCGCGAAAGCGUGGGGAGCGAACAGG